rnacentral:rRNA from 1 species
CUACGGGCCGCAGCAGUGAGGAAUUUUGCGCAAUGGGGGAAACCCUGACGCAGCAACGCCGCGUGAGCGAAGAAGGCCUUCGGGUCGUAAAGCUCUGUCAAGUGGGAAAAAAAUUCUUUGAUGAACAGUCAAAGGACUUGAUGGUACCACUGGAGGAAGCACCGGCUAAGUCCGUGCCAGCAGCCGCGGUAAUACGGAGGGUGCAAGCGUUGGUCGGAAUUACUGGGCGUAAAGAGCGUGUAGGCGGUUUGACAAGUCAGAUGUGAAAGCCCCGGGCUCAACCCGGGAAGUGCAUUUGAAACUGUUUCACUAGAGUAUGGGAGAGGAGAUUGGAAUUCCUGGUGUAGAGGUGAAAUUCGUAGAUAUCAGGAGGAACACCCGUGGCGAAGGCGAUUCUCUGGACCAAUACUGACGCUGAGACGCGAAAGCGUGGGGAGCAAACAGGAUUAGAUACCCGAGUAGUC